GGGUUUACCCAUUGGUCAGGCUUAAUUGUCUGUACUGGUGAGAUAAAUCUCUACCUUCUGAGGAACUUUCAUGUCAUUAAUUUGGUGUGAUUGGAAAUCAGGACUGUUACUUUGAAAAAAUUAGAGUGUUCAAAGCAGGCGUAACCUUGCCAUUGAAUAUUACAGCAUGGGAUAAUAGAA
rnacentral:rRNA from 1 species